CUGGCACGCCUCGGCGCCCCCUAGUGGCCACAUCUGGGGAGAAGCCCGUUUCUCCCUGGACCUCCUGCGAAAGUUUGCUCAACCGACUGGCUUGGCUUCCGCAAACCUCAGCAAUGCUUCCAGCCACUAGGAGUGAAGAGUCUGGAGGACCCCCACCUCGUUGAGGGCGUCAGGGGAGGCUUCUGGGAGGAGGCGAUGUUUGUGCUGAGAGAAUGGUUUCAAGCCCACCUGUUGAAGGCAGUGUGUCCCUCUGUGAGUGGCUGAGGGUCCACCAUGGAUGGCCGGGCAUCUGGCUGUGGCUGACUCAGGCCCCAGAAAGAGCAGGGCAUAUAUAAGUGGUCCCUGAUCUGUGGGAAAACCUCAUCAGCCAGGUGGGUUCGUCCUGCUCUUCUGAGGGGCUGAGCUUGAUGCUCUCCCAUCAGCCCUGUGCUUGGAGGGUCGGGCAGACGCUGUGCUGUAGGACUCAGCAUCCCGGGGAGGAAGGGUGACCCUGCUCUGAUUCCACUGCCCCCAGAAUGGUAGAAGCUUGCCCAGUGUUGGUGCCUUGGCAACUUGAGGUGAGUUGGGGGGGGCGUAGAGGGCAGGGGGUAGGAGAACUUGUCCCUCACAACUCUCCCUGUCCCUCUUGCUUGCCCUGGGUCUGCUCCUCUCACACCCCCAGCCCAUCGGUCCUCAUGGAUCAGGUGGACACCUCAGAGGUCGGGGAGCUUGGGGAUGGAGCCACAUGGGUGGGAGAAGAAUCCUGACCCCAGGGGGGACUGGGAUGGAGGGGAGGAGUCUUCUGUGGAGCUGAAGAAGGUCCCUUCCCAGUACCGUUCCUGUGGAAUCCUCAAAAGAAUGUGGGUCUCCUUCUCUAUGUAUGUAUAACGGAAUCACUUCACUGUACACCUGAAACUAACACAACAUUGUAUAUCAGUUAUAUUUCAAUAAAUUUUUUUUAAAAAAGAAUGUGGGUCUCAUGGGAGCAUCAGGGGACCCCAAGCUGAGACCCUGCUGACCUCAUCACCUUUACCCUCAGAGAU